rnacentral:rRNA from 1 species
UACAGGGGGGGCAAGCGUUGUUCGGAAUCACUGGGCGUAAAGCGCGUGUAGGCGGCCUCUUAAGUCUGAUGUGAAAGCCCGGGGCUUACCCCCGGAAGUGCAUUGGAAACUGGGAGGCUAGAGUACCGGAGAGGAAGGUGGAAUUCCUGGUGUAGCGGUGAAAUGCGUAGAUAUCAGGAGGAACACCGGUGGCGAAGGCGGCCUUCUGGA